GCGUUGGUGGUUCAGUGGUAGAAUUGUCGCCAGCCACGCGGGAGGCCCGGGUUCGAUUCUCGGCCAAUGCA
rnacentral:tRNA from 1 species